GUGAGGAAUUUUCCGCAAUGGGCGAAAGCCUGACGGAGCAAUGCCGCGUGAAGGAUGAGGGCCUAUGGGUUGUAAACUUCUUUUCUCAGAAAAGAAUUAUGACGGUAUCUGAGGAAUAAGCAUCGGCUAACUCUGUGCCAGCAGCCGCGGUAAGACAGAGGAUGCAAGCGUUAUCCGGAAUGAUUGGGCGUAAAGCGUCUGUAGGUUGUUUAAAAAGUAUUCUGUCAAAGAUUAGGGCUUAACCCUAGAUAGGCAGAAUAAACUUUUAAGCUAGAGUUUGGUAGAGGCAGAGGGAAUUCCCGGUGGAGCGGUGAAAUGCGUAGAUAUCGGGAGGAACACCAAAGGCGAAGGCACUCUGCUGGGCCAAUACUAACACUGAGAGACGAAAGCGAGGGGAGCAAAUGGGAUUAGAAACCCGUGUAGUCC
rnacentral:rRNA from 1 species